AUUGAACGCUGGCGGCAUGCCUUACACAUGCAAGUCGAACGGCAGCACGGGAGCUUGCUCCUGGUGGCGAGUGGCGAACGGGUGAGUAAUACAUCGGAACGUACCCUGAAGUGGGGGAUAACGUAGCGAAAGUUACGCUAAUACCGCAUAUUCUGUGAGCAGGAAAGAGGGGGAUCGCAAGACCUCUUGCUUUAGGAGCGGCCGAUGUCGGAUUAGCUAGUUGGUGAGGUAAAGGCUCACCAAGGCGACGAUCCGUAGCGGGUCUGAGAGGAUGAUCCGCCACACUGGGACUGAGACACGGCCCAGACUCCUACGGGAGGCAGCAGUGGGGGAAUUUUUGGACAAUGGGCGCAAGCCUGAUCCAGCCAUGCCGCGUGAGUGAAGAAGGCCUCGGUUGUUAAAGG
rnacentral:rRNA from 1 species